rnacentral:tRNA from 1 species
GGGGUUGGGGCUCAGUGGUAGAGCACUCAUCUGGAAUGUGUAAGGCACUGGGUUUGAUCCUCAGAACCACA